GGGCGUGUAGCUCAGUUGUAGAGCACUUGCCUAGCAUGCAUGAGGCCCUGGGUUCCAUCCCCAGCCAUGCAUA
rnacentral:tRNA from 1 species